rnacentral:misc_RNA from 1 species
CACCCUCAAAAUGCAUCCAACCGACAAACAGUUUAAGCAUUUUAACUUGUCGCGAAAACUCAGGAAAUGGCAACCAGAUUCGCUCUGAGCCGACUCUGUAUCACUCGCUCGAUGGAGACAACUCGGGGGGCAACUCGCUACUACAGCGAUAGCAAGGGCCGUAUCCUGAGCGAAGAGGAACGCGCCGCUGAGAACGUCUAUAUCCAGAAAAUGGAAAGGGAGAGGCUGGAGAAGCUGAAGCGGAGGGCUGAGAAAGAAAAGGCAGAGAAAGACAGUGCUGACAAGAAAACUGAAGGGAACCAGAAGGGUUGAAUUCAUCAAUUGCACUUGAUGAGGACAAUCUUGUUGUGGAAUAAUCAUGAUUGUGGAAUAAUCAUAAAAAA